UCCGGAGGGUGCGAUCGUUGUUCGGAAUUACUGGGCGUAAAGGGGGCGUAGGCGGUUUGUUAAGUCAAGUGUGAAAGUCCACGGCUUAACUGUGGAAGUGCAUUUGAGACUGGCAGGCUAGAGUUUCGGAAGGGAAAGUGGAAUUCCUGGUGUAGGAGUGAAAUCCGUAGAUAUCAGGAGGAAUACCGGUGGCGAAGGCGACUUUCUGGACGAAUACUGACGCUGAGGCCCGAAAGCGUGGGGAGCAAACAGG
rnacentral:rRNA from 1 species